CCUACGGGUGGCAGCAGUCGAGAAUCAUUCACAAUGGGGGGAACCCUGAUGGUGCGACGCCGCGUGAGGGAAUGAGGUUCUUCGAAUUGUAAACCCCUGUCAUGGGGGAGCAAAUUAAAAAGGUAGUACCACAAGAAGAAGAGACGGCUAACGCUGUGCCAGCAGCGGCGGUAAUACAGAGGUCUCAAUCGUUGUGCUGAAUCACUGGGUGUGAGGGGUGAGUAGGCUGUGUCGUAAGUAUUGUGUGAAAGUCGUGGGCUCAACCCGCGGACGGCACAAGAUACUGCGAGACUAGAGUAAGGGAGGGGGAAGCGGAAUUCCCGGUGUAGCAGUGAAAUGCGUAGAUAUCGAGAGGAACACUCGUGGCGAAGGCGGGUUUCUGGACAUAAACUGACGCUGAGGCACGAAGGCCUGGGGAGCGAAAGGGAUUAGAUACCCGAGUAGUC
rnacentral:rRNA from 1 species